UACGGGGGGAGCAAGCGUUGUUCGGAUUUACUGGGCGUAAAGGGCGCGUAGGCGGUCAGCACAAGUCAGUUGUGAAAUCUCCGGGCUUAACUCGGAAAGGUCAACUGAUACUGUGCGACUAGAGUGCAGAAGGGGCAACUGGAAUUCUCGGUGUAGCGGUGAAAUGCGUAGAUAUCGAGAGGAACACCUGCGGCGAAGGCGGGUUGCUGGGCUGACACUGACGCUGAUGCGCGAAAGUGUGGGGAGCGAACAGG
rnacentral:rRNA from 1 species